UACGUAGGGGGCAAGCGUUGUCCGGAAUCAUUGGGCGUAAAGAAGCGUGUAGGCGGCCUGAUAAGUCGGUUGAUGAAAGUCAAGGGCUCAACCCUUGAAUGCCGGCCGAUACUGUCGAGGCUAGAGUCCGGAAGAGGCGAGUGGAAUUCCCGGUGUAGCGGGUGAAAUGCGCAGAUAUCGGGAGGAACACCAAUGGCGAAGGCAGCUCGCUGGGACGUGACUGGACGCUGGAGA
rnacentral:rRNA from 1 species